GGAGAGGUGUCCGAGUGGCUUAAGGAGCACGCCUGGAAAGUGUGUAUAGGUUCAUCCCUAUCGCGGGUUCGAAUCCCGCUCUCUCCGCCA
rnacentral:tRNA from 1 species